rnacentral:snRNA from 1 species
GAUCAUGUUCGCAGUUUCAC